GGAGUUUGAGCAAAUGGUUUUGCGUUUUGAUUGCAAAUUGAAAUAUAGGGAUUCGAUUUCCCCGGACUCCU
rfam:Aspergillus nidulans FGSC A4 mitochondrion, complete genome.